GCCUACGGGUGGCAGCAGGCGCGAAAACUUUCCAAUGCGCUAACGCGUGAGAGGGGAAUCUUGAGUGGUCAUGCUUUUGCAUGACCUUUUCUCCAGUCUAGAUAGCUGGGGGAAUAAGGGGUGGGCAAGACGGGUGCCAGCCGCCGCGGUAAUACCCGCGCCCCGAGUGGUGAUCACGAUUAUUGGGCCUAAAGCGUCCGUAGCCGGCCAGACCAGUCCCUGGUGAAAUCCUGCAGCUAACUGUAGGGCGUGCUGGGGAUACUAUCCGGCUCGGGACCGGGAAAAGCCUGGGGUAUUCCACGUGUAGGGGUUAAAUCCUUUAAUCCGUGGAGGACCACCUGUGGCGAAGGCGCCAGGCUGGAACGGGUCCGACGGUGAGGGACGAAAGCUGGGGGAGCGAACGGGAUUAGAUACCCGUGUAGUC
rnacentral:rRNA from 1 species